UUUUUAAAUUGAGAGUUUGAUCCUGGCUCAGGAUGAACGCUGGUGGCGUGCCUAAUACAUGCAAGUCGUACGCUAGCCGCUGAAUUGAUCCUUCGGGUGAAGUGAGGCAAUGACUAGAGUGGCGAACUGGUGAGUAACACGUAAGAAACCUGCCCUUUAGUGGGGGAUAACAUUUGGAA
rnacentral:rRNA from 1 species